GCGAGGGACGGGCGAGGGGGGGGGGGAAGACGUGGGGGGAAAGCGGUGUCCGGAAUCAGUGGGCGUAAGGAGCGUGUAGGCGGCCCGGUCAGUCCGCGGGGAAAGUCCAGGGGGCAACCCUGGAAUGCCGGUGGAUACUGCCGGGCUCGAGUCCGGAAGAGGUGAGUGGAAUUCCUGGUGUAGCGGUGAAAUGCGCAGAUAUCAGGAGGAACACCAAUGGCGAAGGCAGCUCACUGGGACGGUACUGACGCUGAGACGCGAAAGCGUGGGGAGCAAACAGGAUUAGAUACCCGUGUAGUC
rnacentral:rRNA from 1 species